UCGGUGGGCUGGCGAGUUUACUUUGAACAAAUCAGAGUGCUUCAACAGGCGUUUCGCUUGAAUGUUCGUGCAUGGAAUAAUAGAAGAGGAUUUCGGUCCGAUUUUAUUGGUUUUGCUGACCGAGAUAAUGGUUAACAGAGACAAACGGGGCCAUUCGUAUUGCUACGUGAGAGGUGAAAUUCUUGGACCGUAGCAAGACGGACUACAGCGAAAGCAUUUGGCAAGAAUGUCUUCAUUAAUCAAGAACGAAAGUCAGAGGUUCGAAGGCGAUCAGAUACCGCCCUAGUUCUGACCGUAAACGAUGCCAACUAGCGAUCCGCCGGCGGAUUUAUUCGCCCUGGUGGGGAGCUUCCCGGAAACGAAAGUCUUCCGGUUCCGGGGGAAGUAUGGUUGCAAAGCUGAAACUUAAAGGAAUUGACGGAAGGGCACCACCAGGAGUGGAGCCUGCGGCUUAAUUUGACUCAACACGGGGAAACUCACCCGGCCCGGACACCGUAAGGAUUGACAGAUUGAUAGCUUUUUCAUGAUUCGGUGGAUGGUGGUGCAUGGCCGUUCUUAGUUCGUGGAGCGAUUUGUCUGGUUUAUUCCGAUAACGAGCGAGACUCUAGCCUACUAAAUAGUUGGCUCAUUGCUUCUGUGGGCACAACUUCUUAGAGGGAUUUUCGGUGUUCAGCCGCACGAAAUUGAGCAAUAACAGGUCUGUGAUGCCCUUAGAUGUCCGGGGCUGCACGCGCGCUACACUGGCAAAAUCAGCGUGCUUGUCCUUCCCGAAAAGGGGUUGGUAAACCGGUGAAAUUUGCCGUGAUUGGGAUCGGACAUUGCAAUUAUUGUCCGUGAACGAGGAAUUCCUUGUAGGGGCGAGUCAUCAACUCGCUCUGAAUACGUCCCUGCCCUUUGUACACACCGCCCGUCGCUGCCCCGGGACUGAGCCAUUUCGAGAAAUUCGGGGACGGUUAGUGUUUCGGUUUCGGUCGGUAUGCAGACU
rnacentral:rRNA from 1 species